AUUGAACGCUGGCGGCAUGCCUUACACAUGCAAGUCGAACGGUAACAGGCAGCAAGUUGCUGCCUUGCUGAGGAGGGGCGGGCAAUGCAGCAGAGUGUGGGCAAUCGCGGGGGAGAGCGGCUUGACUACUGAACUCGGACCGCAUACGAGCAUAACAUCGAAGCGGGAGACCGGAAGGCCUUGCGGGAUUUGAGCAUCGGAUGUGAGAUUAGGUAGUUGGUGGGGUAAUGGCUCACCAAGCCAACGAUCUGUAGCUGGUCUGAGAGGACGACCAGCCACACUGGAACUGAGACACGGUCCAGACUCCUACGGGAGGCAGCAGUGGGGAAUUUUGCACAAUGGGCGCAAGCCUGAUGCAGCAAUGCCGCGUGCAUGAAGAAGGCCUUCGGGUUGUAAACUGCUUUUAUACGGGACGAAGCGACUCUGGUUAAUACCCGGGGCUAAUGACGGUACCGUAAGAAUAAGCACCGGCUAACUACGUG
rnacentral:rRNA from 1 species